rnacentral:rRNA from 1 species
CAGCAGCCGCGGUAAUACGAAGGGUGCAAGCGUUACUCGGAAUUACUGGGCGUAAAGCGUGCGUAGGUGGUGGUUUAAGUCCGUUGUGAAAGCCCUGGGCUCAACCUGGGAAUUGCAGUGGAUACUGGGUCACUAGAGUGUGGUAGAGGAUAGUGGAAUUUCCGGUGUAGCAGUGAAAUGCGUAGAGAUCGGAAGGAACAUCUGUGGCGAAGGCGACUAUCUGGGCCAACACUGACACUGAAGCACGAAAGCGUGGGGAGCAAACAGGAUUAGAUACCCCCGUAGUCCCUGUCUCUUAUAC